UCCGGGUUCUAUUGGGUGUUGCGCUACGGCGGAGGUGGUUGCCAAGGCGACGCCAGGGAAGAUGGCUGCGACGUCUUCAUCGGAUUCCGACAGCGGGAGAGCUGAGAGCAACGAAGCCAAUUCGAAAUGGCUGGACGCGCACUACGACCCCAUGGCCAACAUCCACACUUUCUCCUCCUGUCUGGCUCUGGCAGAUUUGCAUGGCGACGGGGAGUACAAGCUGGUGGUUGGAGACCUUGGCCCAGGUGGGCAGCAGCCCCGCUUGAAGGUGCUCAAGGGACCAACGGUGUUGACAGAAAGCCCACUGCCUGCCCUGCCGGCCUCUGCUGUCACCUUCCUCAUGGAGCAACAUGAGCCCAGGACGCCAGCCCUGGCACUUGCUUCGGGGCCUUGUGUCUAUGUGUAUAAGAAUCUUAGACCCUACUUCAAGUUCAGCCUGCCCCAGUUACCUCCAAACCCUCUGGAACAAGAUCUUUGGAACCAAGCCAAAGAGGACCGGAUCGACCCCUUAACCCUGAAGGAGAUGCUGGAGGGCAUCAGGGAAAAGGCGGAGGUGCCUUUGUCCGUUCAGUCGCUCAGGUUUCUGCAGCUGGAGAUGAGUGAAAUGGAGGCGUUUGUGAACCAGCAUAAGGCGAAGGUUAUCAAGCGGCAGACAGUCAUCACCACCAUGACCACCCUGAAGAAAAACCUGGCUGAUGAGGAUGCAGUGUCAUGUCUGGUGCUGGGCACUGAGAACAAGGAGCUCCUAGUGCUUGACCCUGAGGCCUUCACUAUUUUGGCCAAGAUGAGCCUGCCCAGUGUCCCUGUCUUCCUGGAGGUUUCCGGCCAGUUUGAUGUGGAGUUCCGGCUGACUGCUGCCUGCCGAAAUGGGAGCAUCUAUAUUCUGAGAAGAGACUCCAAACACCCCAAGUAUUGCAUCGAUUUGAGUGCCCAGCCUGUGGGGCUGGUCCGGGUACACAAGAUCCUGGUGGUGGGCAGCACCCAGGAGAGUCUGCAUGGCUUCACCCACAAGGGUAAGAAGCUGUGGACAGUGCAGAUGCCUGCAGCCAUCCUGACCAUGAACCUCCUGGAGCAGCGUUCCCGGGGCCUGCAAGCUGUCAUGGCUGCUCUGGCCAAUGGGGAAGUCCGCAUUUACCGUGACAAGGCCCUGCUUAAUGUCAUCCAUGCCCCUGAUGCAGUAACCAGCCUUUGCUUUGGACGAUAUGGGCGAGAAGACAACACCCUCAUCAUGACCACUCGAGGGGGUGGUCUGAUCAUCAAGAUCCUGAAGCGUACAGCAGUGUUUGUGGAAGGGACAGGUGAGACGGGCCCACCACUAGCACAGACCACAAAACUCAAUGUGCCCCGAAAGACCCGGCUGUAUGUGGAUCAGACCCUGCGAGAGCGGGAAGCUGGCACAGCCAUGCACCGAACCUUCCAGACAGACCUCUACCUGCUGCGCCUACGAGCUGCCAGAGCCUAUGUACAGGCCCUGGAGUCCAGCCUGAGCCCCAUGUCAACCACAGCUCGUGAGCCACUCAAGCUGCAUGCUGUGGUUCAAGGCCUGGGCCCCACUUUUAAGCUCACACUUCACCUACAGAAUACCUCAACAGCUCGGCCAGCAGUGGGGCUGCAGGUCUGCUUCCUGUACAAUGAGGCACUCUAUGCCCUGCCCCGGGCCUUCUUCAAGGUCCCUUUGCUGGUGCCAGGACUCAGUUAUCCACUGGAGACCUUUGUGGAGAGUCUCAGUAGCAAGGGCAUUUCAGAUGUAAUCAAGGUGCUGGUGCUCCGGGAAGGCCAGAGUGCACCCCUGCUGAGUGCCCACAUCAACAUGCCUGUGAGUGAGGGGAUGGCAGCUGCCUGAACCCUGGACAUUCAAGCCUCCAUGGAAUGGAGCCAGCCAGAUCCAUGACUUCCAGUGCCCCCAGGCCACGCCCCCACACAGCAGUGUAGUAAGGCAUCAGCUUCCUGUUCCUCUCUGAAACAAUCCCUGCCCCCUACCCUUGCUACUGGGCCUGAUCCACAGGACAGGGAGUACUCAGAAUCAUCUCCUCCUCCCUGGGAGCCCUGCAGAGCACUGACAAGAUUCCUGCUGCCUACCACCCUCCCUAGCUCUUUAAAGAAACCUCAGGUCCCAGGAAGAGACCUGAGAUGAUCAAGGUUCAGCCUGGUGUGUGGUACACAGCUCAGGCCUGGCCUGCCUCCUCAGGUUUCCACCUCCUUUCCAAUUAAAGGAGAAUUUGACUGGGUAAAUUCCAAACUGCUUUCAGCUCUAACACCAUCAGAGCUUGGCAGCUCCAUGGGAGGAAGGGAAGAAUUGGUCCAAAAAAUGAUAUUUAACUGCACAGCUUUUGCCCACAAGACCAAUGGCUCCAAUCUGUCCACCACUGUCCAGUAACAGCCUCUGAGCCCACUUGAGAAUCAGGGUGACACUGCCCACCUUGACCCUUCCAAAGGGUACAUUGGGGGCCAGGCUAAGAGACAGUGGGCCAAGGAAAUAGUCCAUCCUCCUUCCCAUAUUGACUGACUGCCUAAGCACGGGUGGCAAAGGGUUUCUUUCUGCAUCAACCACUGGAGGCACAGCUGGAUCAAGCCAAGAAGUCUAACUGGAGAUGGAAAGAUGAGAGAGGGAGGGAGUAUUGCUGUCAGUCAAAUCCCAGCCUACCCUGCAGAACUUACCAGGGAUGGAAGGUCUGCUCAAGAAGGUGAUGGCCCUUGUCACAGGUAUUUUGUGAGUGGGGCUGUGCUGUUACAGGUUGUGUAUUGGGUCAGAUGACAUUCCAGCCCCUUUCACCCCAAUCAAGCUGUGAAACCAGAACAAAACAUUUGAUGUGCACUCUCCAUAGCUAUUCAUUAUGAUACAAGGGGAGAGACACAUGCCCAGGCCCUACCAUUAACACAAUGUCAUUCUGUGUACUGGUUAGUAAGAAAUGUAUGGUUGGGUCCAUGGUGGUGCUCACCUGUAAUCCCAGCACUUGGGGGGCAGAGAUAGGCAUUUCUCUGUGAGUUCGAGGCCAGCCUGCUCUACAGAGCUAGUUAUGGGACAGCUGUUACUUAGAGAAACCCUGUCUUGACCACCAAAGGUGGGGGGCUCUGUGUCCUGCUCCUUAUGGACACAAAGGGACAUGAGCAUAAACAGUGCAGAGUGCCCAGUACACACAGGAGUGAGAGCACUAAGAAAUUGUGAACAUUAGGGAUUAGACAACUCUGUAUCUGUUUUCAUAAUACUUCAUUUGAAACACACACCUAUGUAGUGAUCUGGAAUAGACUAUUUAAUACAACAUAAAUGCCCUCUUCCCAUUUCACCAGACCAUCCCAUACAACAGCCAUUUUCAUUAAGUUGUUUUAUUUUUUUGAGCUAGGGUUUCUCUGUGUAAUAUCCCUGGUUGUUCUGGAACUCACUAUGUAGACCAGGCUGGCCUAGAACUCCCAGAGAUCCAUCCACCUCCCGAGUUCUGGGAUUAAAGGUGUGCACCACCACAGCCAGGCUUCGUUAGAAAUAUUUUUAAAAUACAAAGAUUUUUUAAAAAAUGUUUCCCUUUUAAUUAUAUAUGUAGGGUUUAUGUCCAUGAGUACAGGUACCUGAGGAGGCCAGAAGAAUGUGUUGGAUCCCCAGGAACUGGAGUUACAGGUGGUUGUGAGCUGCCUAGUGUAGGUGCUGGCAGCUGACCUGGGCCUUCUGCAAGAGCAAGAGUUCUUAACCACUGGGCCAUCUCUGCAGCCCCUGUACUACUCCUGCUUCAGACUUUUGUAAUAGAUGAGGCUUUAGUGUUAUUGAGACCACUCCCCUGCUUUUCAUGUUUUAGGUCAUCUAUACUCACUGUUUGCAUUGCUGUUUAUACUGAUAUGUGAAAAUCUUAGUAAAGCUGAGAAUUAACUAAAUAACCAUUUUUGAACUUUUAGAUCUUUUAAUGUAAUUGGCACCUGCUUUUUUUAUUGCUUAGUUUUCUAAUAUACAACUGAAA